CGGCUGCUCCGGGCCCCUCUGGCGCGCCUGCCGGCCUCGCGUGAUGUCGGAGCCAUACC
rfam:Palleronia marisminoris strain CECT 7066 genome assembly, contig: 0001